GCAAAUUUACUACUGGGUAUAAGUGACCAGGUUUUUAGGGCCAAAUCCUGCGUUUUUGGCUUCUCCCAGAAGCCUGGGCACAAAGCAUCUGACUGCAGCUGGGAAUUCAUCACCUCUCUCCCUGGACAUGCAAAUUUUACUGGAACUCCUUCAGCUAAGUCCUGUGUGCCCCCGUGCCUUAGCAGGGAGUGGUGACAGCUCAUCGUGCAGGCUGGAAUUCCAGGGAAUCCUGCAGCCCCCUGGGAAGCUGCUGCCCAGGAAGGGGCUGGGGAUGCUGACUGCUUGUGACAAGUCUUGCCUGGGAGAAAACCAACACGGCAGCGGUUGGAAACCUGAAUGAUGUCACUAUGGCAACAAAAUAACUCACCUUAAAAUAAAAUGUGCA
rnacentral:lncRNA from 14 species